rnacentral:rRNA from 1 species
UACGUAGGUGGCAAGCGUUAUCCGGAUUUAUUGGGCGUAAAGAGAACGCAGGCGGUCUUUUAAGUCUGAUGUGAAAGCCUUCGGCUUAACCGGAGUAGUGCAUUGGAAACUGGGGACUUGAGUGCAGAAGAGGAGAGUGGAACUCCAUGUGUAGCGGUGAAAUGCGUAGAUAUAUGGAAGAACACCAGUGGCGAAAGCGGCUCUCUGGUCUGUAACUGACGCUGAGGUUCGAAAGCGUGGGUAGCAAACAGG